rnacentral:rRNA from 1 species
GACGAACGCUGGCGGCGUGCUUAACACAUGCAAGUCGAACAGAAAGGCCCUGCUUUUGUGGGGUGCUCGAGUGGCGAACGGGUGAGUAACACGUGAGUAACCUGCCCUUGACUUUGGGAUAACUUCGGGAAACUGGGGCUAAUACCGGAUAGGAGCUCCUGCUGCAUGGUGGGGGUUGGAAAGUUUCGGCGGUUGGGGAUGGACUCGCGGCUUAUCAGCUUGUUGGUGGGGUAGUGGCUUACCAAGGCUUUGACGGGUAGCCGGCCUGAGAGGGUGACCGGCCACAUUGGGACUGAGAUACGGCCCAGACUCCUACGGGAGGCAGCAGUGGGGAAUAUUGCACAAUGGGCGGAAGCCUGAUGCAGCAACGCCGCGUGCGGGAUGACGGCCUUCGGGUUGUAAACCGCUUUCGCCUGUGACGAAGCGUGAGUGACGGUAAUGGGUAAAGAAGCACCGGCUAACUACGUG